rnacentral:rRNA from 1 species
UACGUAGGUGGCAAGCGUUGUCCGGAUUUACUGGGCGUAAAGAGCGCGCAGGCGGUCGUUCAAGUCGAGUGUGAAAGCCCCCGGCUCAACUGGGGAGGGUCACUCGAUACUGAUCGACUCGAAGGCAGAAGAGGGAAGCGGAAUUCCCGGUGUAGUGGUGAAAUGCGUAGAUAUCGGGAGGAACACCAGUGGCGAAGGCGGCUUUCUGGUCUGCCCUUGACGCUGAGGCGCGAAAGCUAGGGUAGCAAACGGG